rnacentral:rRNA from 1 species
CCUACGGGAGGCUGCAGUAGGGAAUAUUGCUCAAUGGGGGAAACCCUGAAGCAGCAACGCCGCGUGGAGGAUGAAGGUUUUCGGAUUGUAAACUCCUUUUGUUAGAGAAGAUAAUGACGGUAUCUAACGAAUAAGCACCGGCUAACUCCGUGCCAGCAGCCGCGGUAAUACGGAGGGUGCAAGCGUUACUCGGAAUCACUGGGCGUAAAGAGCGCGUAGGCGGGAUAGCAAGUCAGAUGUGAAAUCCUAUGGCUUAACCAUAGAACUGCAUUUGAAACUGUUAUUCUAGAGUAUGGGAGAGGUAGGUGGAAUUCUUGGUGUAGGAGUGAAAUGCGUAGAGAUCAAGAGGAAUACUCAUUGCGAAGGCGACCUGCUAGAACAUAACUGACGCUGAUGCGCGAAGGCGUGGGGAGCAAACAGGAUUAGAUACCCUUGUAGUC